rfam:Trametes pubescens strain FBCC735 TRAPTBscaffold_1532, whole genome shotgun sequence.
GGCGAGAUGGCCGAGCGGUCUAAGGCGCCAGACUAAGGAGCACCUCCAGUGUUAUGAUAUCUGGUCCGAAAGGGCGCGGGUUCGAAUCCCGCUUUCGUCA